AAAUUUUUAUGCUGACGAUAAUCCAUCUUUUAAAGUUUCAAGCUUCAUAGGACAGCACUAUGGAGGCAUUCAACCUCUCUCCACAUCAACUUCUUCAUCUCCCACUUGUCCCCUCACCCUUCUCCUAUUAACAUGUGGUGUGCAUUCUAGUCUAAUGUUCUUCAACUUUGUCUUCUUUCAAUCGAUAUUAUCAAUUGGCUCUGGCUUCAUAGGUGGAGACUUUACAAAGACGACGACUUCUUUUAGCUCAAAUAAUGUGCAGCAAUUACAAGAAAAUUGAGAUUAGAGAACAGAGAUUUCGCAAAAUAAUUAACCUAACUAUUUUUAUGUGAAACCUCAGACAUUAUAAAGUGCUGAGCUGCACGCUUUCAUCUUUUAUUGUCAUCAAAAUAUGCAAUUCUAUCAAAUCUCAUGUCUCAAUAUAUGAACUCUUGAUUUGAAGAA